rnacentral:ribozyme from 1 species
AAAAAAGAGAAAAAGAUCCGCUCUCGUCAUCAUGUGCUUUUCCGCUUGCAACUAUUGUGGUUCUCUGAAUCGUCAAAGAAAGAUGAUUUCAUUUUCCCUUUCAAAUUCCAGAUGUAAGAACAACAGGAAGAAAAUGCAUGGAUUUCCGUGGAACGAUUGGUUUCUCGAAUGUCAAAAACAGGGUGGAAAAGAAAAGGAAAAGAGAGCAGGGGAAAUCCUUCUUUUGUUCUCUCUUUUUCUCUUUUUGAAUGUCACACAGGAAAAAAAAAGAAAGAAAGAAAGAAAGAAAGAAAAUACU